GGCCACCUGUGACACUGGGAUGUGGUCUGGCCAGGGUUUGAUUUCCCAACACAGUUCUUACCACAGUCACAGCACAGAGAAAGAGAGAGACUCUUAUGCCUAGGAGCCAUGAGGGAACUCCCAGAGAGCUUACUAAAUGAUACCAAUCCACCCUGCUUAAUAUAUCAAUUCUGGUUUUGGUCAGGCUGCCAUACCCUGGCCCUGUACUGAAAAAAGAUGCUCACCUCGAAUGGCAAGAAGGAAAUUUCCUUGGGUGUCUUGAGCGAAGACAGCGCAGGGAUUAGCCCAGCUGCCCACCAUAAUGCCAAGAUGUCCAACAUUCAUUCAUCAGCACCAGCCUCUCUUUCCACAUACAUAAAACCUUGACAGUCAGGGGCUUGAAAAUGGCCAGCUUACAAUUCAACACCAAUGCAGAAUGGGGUACUUACUGCGACCUCCGAGCCCGCAGCGUCUUCGGCCUCGGCCCGCAGCUCUGCCUCCCCUAGCAUCUCUCCUCCCACAGGGGGCCUGCGCAGUCAUCCAACACGCUGGGCUGUGACUGGAUGGAAACUCCCGCUCCUGCGGGUGUGGGCGGAGCUACCUCCCAUUGCUGAUCUGCCCCCAUCCCAGCACCGGCUGCAACCCCCACUUCCAGAUGGACUCACACUGUGGGGAUCUCACUGCCCAGCUGGGGGUUGCCAGAUCCUCCUGGCUGACCAGGCCCUCACAGGGGGCUUGAGGACCUCCUGCCUGUGACCGUGGCAUCCAGUGGUCAGAGGACAGGACAUGAGGAGUGCUACUUGUGACCACGGGGUCCGGUGGUCAGAGGAAAGGAGGUGAAGUUGUCCUGAGUGGGACCACAGUUCCCAGUGGCCAGAGGAUAGGGAAAUGAAGAAAUGAAGGGGUCCUGAGGGUGAUUUCAGGGGCCAGUAGUUAGAGGACCAGGAUGUGAGGCUUUCCUGGGUGUGACCACAGGGCUCAGUGGUCAGUGGACUGGAAGUGAGCAUGACCUGACUGAAUGGCUGAGCUCUGGUCACUGUCCAUCACUGUGGUCACUGGAUCCCAGGGCUGCAGCAGACAAGAAUCUCACUCCAGGGCUCUGUUGCCUUGUCCCCCCAGUGCCCACAGCAGCGUUCUCUGAGCACAUUGGUCAACAGACCAUCAAGUCCUCCACGGAAGUGUCCAGCCCUUCCACCCUGAGUGGCCCUUGUCACAGUCCCGACCAGGGUAGGUGACCUCAGUGGAUGGAAGUGGAUCCCCAAGGCACAUCCACACCUGCAGGCCCACCUGCGCCUGACGCUGACCCCAAGGUGACUACAGCCGAGGAGGGUGCGCCCCUCCCCCUUUCCUCAUUCCUGUCUGCUACUCUUGGUGAGUCCUCCACUCAGUGAAGUGCCUUGUCCACCUGCACCCCACCCCCCCACUGGCUGGAAGUCAAGGAACAGAGUGGACAAAUGUUGGGAUGGCUCAGAGGCUGACUAGGGUGAAUUCUCCAGGGGGCCUCUCGCCCCUCCAUUCAGAACCCUCAUCCCUCCGUCAUUGCUGCCAGUGGACCUGGGCUACUGAUCUCUUAUGGGGACGUCCACUCAGCUGCCCCAAAGCACCUGGCUGGCUUCCCAUUCCUUACCUCCAUCCAGACUCAGGCCCCAUGGGCUCCCU
rnacentral:lncRNA from 1 species